GAUGAACGCUGGCGGCGUGCCUAAUACAUGCAAGUCGAGCGAACGGACGAGAAGCUUGCUUCUCUGAUGUUAGCGGCGGACGGGUGAGUAACACGUGGAUAACCUACCUAUAAGACUGGGAUAACUUCGGGAAACCGGAGCUAAUACCGGAUAAUAUUUUGAACCGCAUGGUUCAAAAGUGAAAGACGGUCUUGCUGUCACUUAUAGAUGGAUCCGCGCUGCAUUAGCUAGUUGGUAAGGUAACGGCUUACCAAGGCAACGAUGCAUAGCCGACCUGAGAGGGUGAUCGGCCACACUGGGACUGAGACACGGUCCAGACUCCUACGGGAGGCAGCAGUAGGGAAUCUUCCGCAAUGGGCGAAAGCCUGACGGAGCAACGCCGCGUGAGUGAUGAAGGUCUUCGGAUCGUAAAACUCUGUUAUUAGGGAAGAACAUAUGUGUAAGUAACUGUGCACAUCUUGACGGUACCUAAUCAGAAAGCCACGGCUAACUACGUGCCAGCAGCCGCGGUAAUACGUAGGUGGCAAGCGUUAUCCGGAAUUAUUGGGCGUAAAGCGCGCGUAGGCGGUUUUUUAAGUCUGAUGUGAAAGCCCACGGCUCAACCGUGGAGGGUCAUUGGAAACUGGAAAACUUGAGUGCAGAAGAGGAAAGUGGAAUUCCAUGUGUAGCGGUGAAAUGCGCAGAGAUAUGGAGGAACACCAGUGGCGAAGGCGACUUUCUGGUCUGUAACUGACGCUGAUGUGCGAAAGCGUGGGGAUCAAACAGGAUUAGAUACCCUGGUAGUCCACGCCGUAAACGAUGAGUGCUAAGUGUUAGGGGGUUUCCGCCCCUUAGUGCUGCAGCUAACGCAUUAAGCACUCCGCCUGGGGAGUACGACCGCAAGGUUGAAACUCAAAGGAAUUGACGGGGACCCGCACAAGCGGUGGAGCAUGUGGUUUAAUUCGAAGCAACGCGAAGAACCUUACCAAAUCUUGACAUCCUUUGACAACUCUAGAGAUAGAGCUUUCCCCUUCGGGGGACAAAGUGACAGGUGGUGCAUAGUUGUCGUCAGCUCGUGUCGUGAGAUGUUGGGUUAAGUCCCGCAACGAGCGCAACCCUUAAGCUUAGUUGCCAUCAUUAAGUUGGGCACUCUAAGUUGACUGCCGGUGACAAACCGGAGGAAGGUGGGGAUGACGUCAAAUCAUCAUGCCCCUUAUGAUUUGGGCUACACACGUGCUACAAUGGACAAUACAAAGGGCAGCGAAACCGUGAGGUCAAGCAAAUCCCAUAAAGUUGUUCUCAGUUCGGAUUGUAGUCUGCAACUCGACUACAUGAAGCUGGAAUCGCUAGUAAUCGUAGAUCAGCAUGCUACGGUGAAUACGUUCCCGGGUCU
rnacentral:rRNA from 1 species